AAUGAGCGUUGGCGGCGUGGAUUAGGCAUGCAAGUCGAACGGGCCACGGGUAGCAAUACUUGUGGCCAGUGGCGCAAGGGAGAGUAAUACGUAGGUAUUUACCCUGGGGUCUGGGAUAGCGGCGGGAAACUGCCGGUAAUACCAGAUGAUAUCUCCGGAUCAAAGGUGUGAUUCCGCCCUAGGAGAAGCCUGCGGUCUAUCAGCUAGUUGGUAGGGUAACGGCCUACCAAGGCAAAGACGGAUAUGGGGCGUGAGAGCGUGCCCCCACUCACUGGGACUGAGACACUGCCCAGACACCUACGGGUGGCUGCAGUCGAGAAUCUUCGGCAAUGGGCGCAAGCCUGACCGAGCGACGCCGCGUGCGGGAUGAAGGCCUUCGGGUUGUAAACCGCUGUCGAAGGGGAGGAAAUUGUAGUGGGUUCACCCAUUAUAUUGACCGAUCCUUGGAGGAAGGGCCGGCUAAUCUCGUGCCAGCCGCCGCAGUAAUAC
rnacentral:rRNA from 1 species